rnacentral:sRNA from 1 species
AAUUUGCUGUGGGCAAAUGAAGUGGAUAUGUGCGUCAAUGCCCCCAGCAGUCAGAAUGCAACCUUCCCCAGCAAUGACUUCAGUGCCCGGGCCAAUCAGAAUGUCGACACCUUGUUGUACAUCUGGGUUGCCCGCUUUGCCCACCCUGAAAAUGCGACCAUUUUUAAUGCCCACAUCUGCCUUCACGAUACCCCAAUGAUCCAGCACCAGCGCAUUGGUGAUGACCAAAUCUACGGAAAGGGUACACGACACCUGGCUUUGCCCCAUGCCGUCGCG